AUGAUAGGUGUUGUUUUACAGGGUCAGUCAUAGUAGUAUGAUAGGUGUUGUUUUACAGGGUCAGUCAUAGUAGUAUGAUAGGUGUUGUUUUACAGGGUCAGUCAUAGUAGUACGAUAGGUGUUGUUUUACAGGGUCAGUCAUAGUAGUAUGAUAGGUGUUGUUUUACAGGGUCAGUCAUAGUAGUACGAUAGGUGUUGUUUUACAGGGUCAGUCAUAGUAGUAUGAUAGGUGUUGUUUUACAGGGUCAGUCAUAGUAGUACGAUAGGUGUUGUUUUACAGGGUCAGUCAUAGUAGUAUGAUAGGUGUUGUUUUACAGGGUCAGUCAUAGUAGUACGAUAGGUGUUGUUUUACAGGGUCAGUCAUAGUAGUAUGAUAGGUGUUGUUUUACAGGGUCAGUCAUAGUAGUAUGAUAGGUGUUGUUUUACAGGGUCAGUCAUAGUAGUAUGAUAGGUGUUGUUUUACAGGGUCAGUAGUAUGAUAGGUGUUGUUGUACAGGGUCAGUCAUAGUAGUAUGAUAGGUGUUGUUUUACAGGGUCAGUCAUAGUAGUAUGAUAGGUGUUGUUUUCCAGGGUCAGUCAUAGUAGUAUGAUAGGUGUUGUUUUACAGGGUCAGUCAUAGUAGUAUGAUAGGGGUUGUUGUACAGGGUCAGUCAUAGUAGUAUGAUAGGUGUUGUUUUACAGGGUCAGUCAUAGUAGUAUGAUAGGUGUUGUUAUACAGGGUCAGUCAUAGUAGUAUGAUAGGUGUUGUUUUACAGGGUCAGCCAUAGUAGUAUGAUAGGUGUUGUUUACAGGGUCAGUCAUAGUAGUAUGAUAGGUGUUGUUUUACAGGGUCAGUCAUAGUAGUAUGAUAGGUGUUGUUAUACAGGGUCAGUCAUAGUAGUAUGAUAGGUGUUGUUUUACAGGGUCAGUCAUAGUAGUAUGAUAGGUGUUGUUUUACAGGGUCAGUCAUAGUAGUAUGAUAGGUGUUGUUUACAGGGUCAGUCAUAGUAGUAUGAUAGGUGUUGUUUUACAGGGUCAGUCAUAGUAGUAUGAUAGGUGUUGUUUACAGGGUCAGUCAUAGUAGUAUGAUAGGUGGUGUUUUACAGGGUCAGUCAUAGUAGUAUGAUAGGUGGUGUUUUACAGGGUCAGUCAUAGUAGUAUGAUAGGUGUUGUUUUACAGGGUCAGUCAUAGUAGUAUGAUAGGUGUUGUUUACAGGGUCAGUCAUAGUAGUAUGAUAGGUGUUGUUUACAGGGUCAGUCAUAGUAGUAUGAUAGGUGUUGUUUUACAGGGUCAGUCAUAGUAGUAUGAUAGGUGUUGUUUACAGGGUCAGUCAUAGUAGUAUGAUAGGUGUUGUUUUACAGGGUCAGUCAUAGUAGUAUGAUAGGUGUUGUUAUACAGGGUCAGUCAUAGUAGUAUGAUAGGUGUUGUUUUACAGGGUCAGUCAUAGUAGUAUGAUAGGUGUUGUUUUACAGGGUCAGUCAUAGUAGUAUGAUAGGUGUUGUUUUACAGGGUCAGUCAUAGUAGUAUGAUAGGUGUUGUUUUACAGGGUCAGUCAUAGUAGUAUGAUAGGUGUUGUUUUACAGGGUCAGUCAUAGUAGUGUGAUAGGUGUUGUUUUACAGGGUCAGUCAUAGUAGUGUGAUAGGUGUUGUUUUACAGGGUCAGUCAUAGUAGUAUGAUAGGUGUUGUUUUACAGGGUCAGUCAUAGUAGUGUGAUAGGUGUUGUUUUACAGGGUCAGUCAUAGUAGUGUGAUAGGUGUUGUUUUACAGGGUCAGUCAUAGUAGUAUGAUAGGUGUUGUUUUACAGGGUCAGUAGUAUGAUAGGUGUUGUUUUACAGGGUCAGUCAUAGUAGUAUGAUAGGUGUUGUUUUACAGGGUCAGUCAUAGUAGUAUGAUAGGUGUUGUUUUACAGGGUCAGUCAUAGUAGUAUGAUAGGUGUUGUUUUACAGGGUCAGUCAUAGUAGUAUGAUAGGUGAUGUUUUACAGGGUCAGUCAUAGUAGUAUGAUAGGUGGUGUUUUACAGGGUCAGUCAUAGUAGUAUGAUAGGUGUUGUUUUACAGGGUCAGUCAUAGUAGUAUAAUAGGUGUUGUUUUACAGGGUCAGUCAUAGUAGUAUGAUAGGUGUUGUUUUACAGGGUCAGUCAUAGUAGUAUGAUAGGUGUUGUUUUACAGGGUCAGUCAUAGUAGUAUGACAGGUGUUGUUUUACAGGGUCAGUCAUAGUGGUAUGAUGGGUGUUGUUUUACAGGGUCAGUCAUAGUAGUAUGAUAGGUGUUGUUUUACAGGGUCAGUCAUAGUAGUAUGAUAGGUGUUGUUUUACAGGGUCAGUCAUAGUAGUAUGAUAGGUGUUGUUUUACAGGGUCAGUCAUAGUAGUAUGAUAGGUGUUGUUUUACAGGGUCAGUCAUAGUAGUAUGAUGGGUG